ensembl:snoRNA
AUUUGCUUUUGUUUCAUUUGUGGGCAAAGACUUAGACAAGAACACAAGUCCUCUCUUGCAGCCCAGAGUUCACUGUUCAGUAUGAAUGUUGAUACAGAGGAGAAGGAACAUG